rnacentral:misc_RNA from 1 species
GAUGAAGAACGUAGCGAAAUGCGAUAAGUAAUGUGAAUUGCAGAAUUCCGUGAAUCAUCGAAUCUUUGAACGCAUAUUGCGCCCUCUGGUAUUCCGGGGGGCAUGCCUGUCCGAGCGUCAUUGCCGCCCUCAAGCACGGCUUGUGUGUUGGGCCCCCGCCCCCCGGCUUCGGGGGGCGGGCCCGAAAGGCAGCGGCGGCACCGCGUCCGGUCCUCGAGCGUAUGGGGCUUCGUCACCCGCUCUGUAGGCCCGGCCGGCGCCCGCCGGCGACCCCAAUCAAUCUUUCCAGGUUGACCUCGGAUCAGGUAGGGAUACCCGCUGAACUUAAGCAUAUCAAUAAGCGGAGGA